AGCUCUUCGGUUGUAGAGCAGCCCAGAACAGCAUUUUCAUGUCCAGAUAUUGUUACAAAAUCCUGUUUCCUCUUCAGAAUGCUCUGGUGUCACUAUUGGCAGAGACCACCAGCCUCCAGGGCAGCCUCACCCAGCCUUCAGGAAUUUGUUUCUUAGCAUCCUGACAGAACAAGAAGUCUUCUGUGUCCAAAAGAUGAUGCUCUUUCAGACUGCAUGUCCACCCAGCUCUGUGGUCAGGACCCUGACGUCUGUAACAUCUGCUUGGUUACUAUAGCUGAAGAAGAGGUCAGCCACAUGCCCUCAGUCUCACCAAUGGACAGUGCUUCUGCAUUACCAGACCCAAGAGCUGGUCCCCAAGUGGUCAACAUUGUGAACAUUCCUGGCCUUCAGAGAUACUUGUGUGGCACUCUAGU
rnacentral:lncRNA from 1 species